AGAGGGUGCGAGCGUUGUCCGGAAUUACUGGGCGUAAAGGGCGCGUAGGCGGCUUGGUAAGUCGGGGGUGAAAGUCAGCGGCUCAACCGCUGGACUGCCUUCGAGACUGCCUGGCUUGAGCAUGGUAGAGGCUGGCGGAAUUCCCGGUGUAGCGGUGGAAUGCGUAGAGAUCGGGAAGAACAUCGGUGGCGAAGGCGGCCAGCUGGGCCAUUGCUGACGCUGAGGCGCGACAGCGUGGGGAGCAAACAGGAUUAGAUACCCUGGUAGUCCACGCCGUAAACGAUGGGUACUAGGCGUCGGGGGGAGCGACCCCUUCGGUGCCGUCGUUAACACAGUAAGUACCCCGCCUGGGGAGUACGGCCGCAAGGCUG
rnacentral:rRNA from 1 species